rnacentral:lncRNA from 1 species
UCUGCGUUAUAGCAUAGCAGACGUCUAGCCGUCUAGCUCUUUGUUUGUUGUUGCUCUCUGAGUGUUUUCUGCAUUCGGUAAUGAAGCAGACACCUUGUCUCCUCCUGGAAUUAGUUUCAGUUGACAUCUGUGAGCUGUAAACGUGGACAAAUCACCAGCAAACGGCUUUUCCGAGGAACGCAAACGUCCGUCGUUUGAUUUGGUUGAAAGAUCUUGGGCUUAAAGGCUAUGUAUGUAGAUAUUUAAAUAGCUCUUACUCGUGUCUAACAGUGAUCAAACAGACAAACGGAUCAAGGAAGCUACUGCUAUCUUCGAAGGCAGAAUGAACAUACAGAACAACAUAUUAGUGUUAAAAAAGAAUAUCUACCUCACCCGCGCGAAUGUUAUGCUAGGAGCACAAUAACAGCAUAUAAGUCUUCAGUCGCGUUAACGAUAUCUUCCAGGCGAGGAUUCGCUACAAAAUUCCUUUUCGGAGAAAUGGAGAAAAGUUCAGAAAGAUUUUUCCUCACUCGUUGCCGUCAGUUAAGUGGUUAGGUGCUAAUCACUCUAUUGUUCAGUCGUCUAUGCCUGAAAGGAGGGCAGGAUAAGUAAAAAAUGCGCUCCAUUGCAAUUUACCAGUUGGAUCUGAUCGCUACAAAAUCAUGCAAAAAAGAUUACGCUGCUACUCAUCCUCAGUUUCGCUCAAUUUGGCGCGGAUUUGUAGCAACGGAUUGGAAGUUGGACGAACUUCACCAACGGUCAAUAGCGGGAGAGAACGCAGUUGGUGACUAGCAAUUCUGGAUGGCCCACGGAAGUUGCGAGCUCUUCGACAGCAGGGGGAGGCGGGAGGCUCAUAAGCAAGCUACUAGUGUAAGCAUGGGUCGUCUUUAUACUAAUUCUUUACUCUAUUCCUGUUAGCCGACUGCGGAAAGAUACGACUUGAUGAAUAAUGCAGGAAGAGAUAAGUGCGAGCGCGGUUGGGCGGGUGUAGCAAAGCGGCCCUAGGUUGUUACUUUGGGCUGGAACUUCGCAAGCAGGCCAGUUCAGGUCUCCAGGGUUCCGCGAGAAGCCAGCUGUUCCAUAAGGGCCCUUUCUCACGAAGUCUCCCUCCGGAUCCCACGCCGAGAAACGUCUGCCCCUUUAGACCCUUCGUAAGCCCCUUCAACACCCACCGCCCAGACCCUGCUGGGUUCUGCAGGCGCCGCCGCUGCGUCAGCUGCUGCUAGUGAUGACCAUAAUUUGCAUAUUUAAUGGCUGGCCGAAAGCUGUACGUGCCAGUUGGCCCUAGGAAAAGGAGGAAGAGUCAAACCCACAAGCUUCAUAACGCGUACACGCGUUCGUACAAUGACUAGCUACUGAGACCACUAUGAAGACUAGAUUACAGAUCUUAUAUAAGGAGAGAAAGGAAUAAACCUACAAACGAAAAGAGAGUUUGUAAAACAGUGUAUAUAUGGGCAACAAGCGAACAUUUUCUUGUAAUGACAUUUAACAGCUUAAGUUCCUCAACUUUCCCUAACUAGAAACGUUUGUGUGACUUUCUGUUCGGGAUAAUUUUCGCGUAACAAUGUACUAACUUGACGUACGUUAGAGGCACAAACAGUUGCAGACUGCAUGACAUACAUGCCAGCGAAUAUUUUAGGGGAAAACCGUCGGUGUUAAACAAAGAAGAUACAUGAGCAUAUAUUAAGGAUAGAAGCAAAGGCGUCAUCUGCCACAGGUGUAAAAAGACCCUGGCAUGUUUGCGAUUGGGUAGGUUAAGCGGUCCAGACGAAAGGGGAGGCCAAAUAGACGGCAGGGGCCUUGUGGUAAUGCCGAUCAGCGUAAUGAUAAAACUAAACACCGGAGACAAUAAGGCAACUGCAACAGAAGUCACAUCAGUAAAAGCAUAGUAUUACUUGCCGGCGGCGUCUGCAGUAGUUGGUACAGAAACGGCUGUGCCAGAAGCAGAAAACCAUGGUUUCGUUUAAUAAGUUUAACGGGUGCGCCUGGCGAAACAGUGCAAAAAGGACGAACCAACAAGGACACCAAAAAAAAAAGAGCUAUAGAAAUACAGGAGUACAAUCUGUCCAGUGAAUAUGUAUCAACAGUUGCUGAGUGCAGUAUGAGAAGAUGUUGCCACCAAAGCGGCAAAAGCUAUAGCGUUUGUACUAGUUCAUGUAUGUUCUAGACAGUGUGCUGUCUCAGACACGUUUCGAUUACACAUCAAACAAUACACAGACUUCAGCAAAUGUGGGAGAAAACUGCUGUAAUUCGUAUACUAUACGUGUUUGCCUAUGUCAGUUAGGGAGACGUGAAGAGAUGCUCUGCUGCUGAAAAGUAUCUUCUGAUGUACUUUAUUAUAAAAGGGUAUACACAAGAACGAGAGCAAAAACAGAGAACGGAUUAAAUGGUGCAGUAGAGGUCUGUUAAAACGUUCAGUCAAUAAAAGCUAUGCACGUUUCAAUUGCAUUGACAUUUUGUUACAUGAAAAAGUUAAAAGAAAAGCAAGGGUCACAUAUAAGCACAAAAGUAAGAAUCGUCGGUGGAAAGAUGUGGAUUCCUUGUUGGCGGAUUUGAAAUGUGUACAGAGAGAAGUAUGUACACGGGUAAGAGAGGACGUUGAUACGAAAGGCCUUCUACAGAUGGAAUAAGCAGGAGUAGAAGGACGUAUGUUCGCUGGAUGGAAAAAGGCAUGAGGUCUAGAAGCGAUUGAUCACCUCCAUUAACUAUUGAUUUAACGGUUAUGCUUUAUCUUUUGAUCACCGGUAUGCCGACUAGUCAGCGGCGCUUAGGGUUUACCUACCUCUGAAUUAGAGGUUCUCUAAUUCACCAUCGGAAACGUCCUAGAAAGAAUGAAAGAGCCACGUGAUUUGGUUUAUAUAGACAUCCAGAG